AGCACGAAGGUUGGCUAAUCCUGGUCGGACAUCAGGAGGUUAGUGCAAUGGCAUAAGCCAGCUUGACUGCGAGCGUGACGGCGCGAGCAGGUGCGAAAGCAGGUCAUAGUGAUCCGGUGGUUCUGAAUGGAAGGGCCAUCGCUCAACGGAUAAAAGGUACUCCGGGGAUAACAGGCUGAUACCGCCCAAGAGUUCAUAUCGACGGCGGUGUUUGGCACCUCGAUGUCGGCUCAUCACAUCCUGGGGCUGAAGUAGGUCCCAAGGGUAUGGCUGUUCGCCAUUUAAAGUGGUACGCGAGCUGGGUUUAGAACGUCGUGAGACAGUUCGGUCCCUAUCUGCCGUGGGCGCUGGAGAACUGAGGGGGGCUGCUCCUAGUACGAGAGGACCGGAGUGGACGCAUCACUGGUGUUCGGGUUGUCAUGCCAAUGGCACUGCCCGGUAGCUAAAUGCGGAAGAGAUAAGUGCUGAAAGCAUCUAAGCACGAAACUUGCCCCGAGAUGAGUUCUCCCUGACCCUUUAAGGGUCCUGAAGGAACGUUGAAGACGACGACGUUGAUAGGCCGGGUGUGUAAGCGCAGCGAUGCGUUGAGCUAACCGGUACUAAUGAACCGUGAGG
rnacentral:rRNA from 1 species